ensembl:lincRNA
AGGAAAGUAUGAGAUUCUUUUGAAUUUUCUAUAUUAACACACCAGUCAUCACCAAUGUAGGUAUAAGCAGUGAUUCUUCUUUCUAGAUAUGUAUAAAAAGGAUGUUUUCUUGAAAAAAAAAAAAAAACUACAAGAAAAAUACAAACCGCUUUCUCUUUGCCCAGGUCAGUCACCAUAGUUAGAUUGCCCAGUUAGAUUUUAAUAUGGCUAGUAUGAGGUACUUUUCAAAGAAUUUAUAAAUAUGGUUAAAAGGAUUUGCUUAGGCCAUCGGCGUUUCAAAGUUAAAUUUGACUUAAAGUUUGUACCAAAUGUAGAUGACGUCUAAGCUGCGUAUGAGGUGUUACAAGGAAUAGAAGUAAAACCAUGAACAUUUGGAAGGCAGUUCCCAUGUAGGGCAUGCAGCAGAUGCUCCACACACUCUCAGUUCUCUCAGAAUUCCUGUGAGGUAGGGUGCUUUUAGAAAUGCCAUCAUACUGGUAAAAACAAGCAAGGCUGGAAGUGGGGGACAGGGGCUUCUGGAGUCACGGCUAGAAGCCUGAUACCUGGUCCACCUCUGCUCUGCUGGUGUCUAGUGUGUGAACUACAGCCCUUGGGAUCAUGAGCCCAUGCUCACAUGAACACAUGUAUAUACACAGAGAAUGCACAGAUUAAACCAAUGACUGUAACAGGACAUUUGUUCCUCCUAGAGACUUCCCAGAGACAAAUCAUGCCAUGUCGCUGAUGCCAGAAGCCUUGCACCCAGCCCUGUCCAGGCUGGUGAGCCGCCUUCUUGUAUUCUCUGGAUUACUAACCUACAUUCUAUAUAGAAGAGGGCACUCCUGACAGACACUGGUUUCUGCAUACUGACACUGCUCUCUGUAUACUGCAUGGCUUGAAUUAUACAGUAGUCCUAGAUUUAUAUGGGGGUGGAGGAAGGCCUUGACACAGUAUAAAAUUUUCAUCUAUAAAAGGUAUAAAAUUCCAAAUGAGCUAUUUAAAAAAAAAUUUCUUCUGUACCUUGAGGAUCUCAGUAAAGAACAAUAGACUGUCCAUUUCAUUCUCCCUGCACUUUCUGAACCAACUAGCAUUGCUCGUUAGCAGAAAGACGCUGGAAACCCAUCUGUUCCCAGGGGCACAGCUUUCACCAUUUCUGGGCCAUGGCUGACCUUGGACUACCAGCAGGCUGUCACAGAGAUCUGAGGGGAAGAGCCCAGCAGUAUUCUGUCACAGAAAUGUCACCACCUUGGUGCCAUGGACACUCCUGAGCAGCUUCUGAGCUACUUCUCGGGCUCAGGAGCAUCUGCCAUGUAAAAUUAGAAAGUGAGGUUUGGAGAAUUACCUUUGUUUAGUUACAAUUUUUUUUUUUAAGCUAGGUAGUGGCAGUGCACACCCUUUAAUCCCAGCACUUGGGAGGCAGAGCUGCUGCGAGAAGAAGACCCAGGAGAUCUGGGGCAACGAGCUGUGCGUCUGGCAGCGCAGGUCCAGAAGCGUGGGCCCCAGGAAGGCGAUGCACAGGCCGAAGCUGAAGAAGACGCUCCAGUAGGUGAGCGUGGGCUGUAGGUUGCGGCGGAGCAGCUCAGACACCCGGCCGUCGCAGCCCAUGGCUCGGCCGGCACCUCGCAGCGAGCCCAGGGCCGAGUGCGGCGGCCAACCGG